rnacentral:rRNA from 1 species
GAGUGAAACUCAAAGGAAUUGACGGGGACCCGCACAAGUAGCGGAGCAUGUGGUUUAAUUCGAAGCAACGCGAAGACCCUUACCUAAGCUUGACAUCCCAAUGACAUCUCCUUAAUCGGAGAGUUCCUUUCGGGGACAUUGGUGACAGGUGGUGCAUGGUUGUCGUCAGCUCGUGUCGUGAGAUGUUGGGUUAAGUCCCGCAAC